UGGGAAGAGCCUCUGAGACUGUGGGAAGAGAAUGGUGCUGGUCAAUUGGUUCACACUUAGAGGAUGCUUGUAUUUAAUUGUUGGGUGAGAAGGCCAGACAUUUGGCUCCAAGACACUCAGGCUGAUUAAUUCAAACCUUUCUUUGCACCAGAAGCAUGCUUUUCAAUGACAGUUACAAAGUAAGAAAUGACUCAUAGACUUUAAGGUCAGAAGGGACCAUCAUGAUCCAUCUACUCUGACCUCCUGCACAUUGCAGGCCACAGAACCUCCCCACCCACUUCUGCAAUUUACCCAUAAACUCUGGCUGAAUUACUGAAGCCCUCAUAUAAUGAUUUAAAGACUUCAAGUUACAGAGAAUCCACUAUUUCUUCCAGUUUAACAUCGGUAAAUGAGACGUGCCCCAUAUGGCAGAGGAAGGCAAAAAUCAACCCCAGAGUCUCUGGCAAUUUGAUUUGGUGGAAAAUUCCUUCCCUAUCCCAAAUAUGGUGGUCAGCUGGACACUGAGCAUUUCAGCAAGACCCAACAGCCAGACACCUGGGAAAGAUUUCUCUCUAACUCAGAGCCCUCCCCAACUCGUGCCCCAUCACCAACCGUUGGAUAUUUGCUACCAGCCAUUGCAUAUAGAAAGAAGUUCUGGUAGCUCCCUUCUCCCGGGGCAUGGGUGGGUCAUGGGGGAUUUCUCCAAGGAAGCUCUAAUUACCCCAUACAAUGUCUGGAAUAUUAGACACCUCCAAAUUGAAUAUUUACUAGUUCUUCUCCAAUCACCUUUGAGUGGUAUGCAUAUUAAGUACCUUAUAUAGGUCACACACUACACAUGCAUGAACACAUCAUUGGCAGGGCUUCUUUUGUUCAAGUUAUUUUCAUGUUAUUGUUCACUUCUCUGAUUGGUUUAUGACCACUGAUUAUGCACACGCCACUUUCACUCUUGUCUCCACACAGAGGGUAUUGGACUUUGUUAACUUCUCUGUGGCUGGAUGCACAGCCCCCCUCAGCCUGGCUCCAGCCCUUCAGUGCCUCACCCCACUGCACAGCCCCCCUCAGCCGAGCUCCAGCCCCUCAUUGCUACCCCUCCCCCAGCUGCCCCCUCAGCCUAGCUUCCCAGGAGCAGCAGGGAUGAGGGACAGUGGGAAGCCACUUCUGGGAGCCACCAGGGGUGAGUCCCGCCUCCCCCCAAAGAAUUUGUUCCACCCUGGCCCCUGCUCACAACAGACUCAGAGCCAGAGCUUGUCCCUUUGUCCUGGUCAGGAGACAGAGGAGGUUCCCAUCGAGCCUGGCAUCACCCCUGCCCGGAGAGGGGUGCCCUGGUCACAGUGAGGCGAUGGGAAACCCUGCUCCACUGAGAGACGCCCCUUCUCUGCUUCCCACAUCCUGUGACACUGUGGGGGAUCUCCCAUGUAAGGGACACAGACAGGGGAGAGACAUGCGGUAAGCGGUGUAGAGGUGGGACACACACAGACACUCAUCCUCCCAUCAGACAUAUUAUUU